UAGAAGUCUAAAAUUUUGACUGGUUUUGAAAAAAAGUUCGCACAACUUUAAGCCAAAUCAAAAUUCAUCGACAAGUUUCAAAUUUCAUCCGAAAAUCUUUUUCAUGCAAAUAUUAUGGUAGUGUAACUAUAUAUGAGAGGGUUUUAAUCAAAACAAUUACAAAUAAAUUGGAUUGGCGAAAUAAAUAAUUUAAAGAAAAGACAUAUGUACACUAACUACAAAAUUAAUGUAUACUAAUUAUAAACAAGGACGGGUUCCAUAUUGAGGUUUCUUUACUUUUCAAGUGAACCUUUUUUAUUUAAAGAAAAAAUAAACUAACUUUAUUACAGGAAAAUAUGCUUCAUUAUAUGCAACUCCUAAAACUCUGUUUUCUGAAAAAGAUAAGUCUAUUAGAUCUCACCAUAGUUUGUCUUAGUCAUGUUUAAAUUUGCAAAUUAGAACAGAAUUGCUUUGAAGAAAUUUUUCUAAACCAAUUGUAUACCAAUAUUAGGAGUAUUACCAAAAAGUUAGUUAAAUUACAAGAUAUGGAUGUGUUCCGUAGACCCAUCAACAGCUAGCCAGGCUAGUUUUUGCAGAAUUGCACGAAAGAUGAUGCGUUUUGGUAAUUAUAGUGAUAACUAAUUGAGUUUUCCUGUAAAUUCAGUUGACAUUAAUAGCACUGACAACGUUUGGAAGUGUGCUACAUUAGUGAACGACGCAAAAGAAGUUAAAACAAAGAAGGCAAUUAAUGUCCAUUUUACGAAUAAUGUGCUAGCCAUGACUGUAGCUUGGUGGGAUGUUAAGUAGAGCAAUAAGCUAACUGAGUUAAUGUUAUUCUCGAUUUUGAAUUAUGUAACAACAUAGUUUUUUUUAUAUCAAAUAUCGUUGUUUUUUAUCAUUUAUUUACUUUCAAAAAACUUUUUAA